UGCGUGUGAUGAAUCUUUCAAUCAGUUCUGCUUCCGAACGAGAGGGAAACCUCCUUGUGGACAGCUUUUAUACCAAAACUCUCAAUCCUGACCU
rnacentral:snoRNA from 1 species